AUUGAACGCUGGCGGCAGGCUUAACACAUGCAAGUCGAGCGAGCGGCGGACGGGUGAGUAAUGUAUGGGGACUGCCCGAUAGAGGGGGAUAACUACUGGAAACGGUGGCUAAUACCGCAUACUAUCGGAUAACCCAUAUGGGAUUAGCUAGUAGGUGGGGUAAAGGCUCACCUAGGCGACGAUCUCUAGCUGGUCUGAGAGGAAGAUCAGCCACACGGGUACUGAGACACGGCCCAGACUCCUACGGAGGCAGCAGUGGGGAAUAUUGCGCAAUGGGGGCAACCCUGACACAGCCAUGCCGCGGGAAUGAAGAAGGCCUUCUGGUUGUAAAGUACUUUCAGCGGGGAGGCGUUACCCGCAGAAGAAGCACUGGCUAACUCCGUGCCAGCAGCCGCGGUAAUAC
rnacentral:rRNA from 1 species